GGAGAUUUAGCUCAGCGGUAGAGCGCUUGCCUAGCAAGUACAAGGCCCUGGGUUCGGUCCCCAGCUCCA
rnacentral:tRNA from 1 species